UGGGGAAUUUUGGACAAUGGGCGCAAGCCUGAUCCAGCAAUGCCGCGUGCGGGAAGAAGGCCUUCGGGUUGUAAACCGCUUUUGUCAGGGAAGAAAUCUUCUGAGUUAAUACCUCGGGAGGAUGACGGUACCUGAAGAAUAAGCACCGGCUAACUACGUGCCAGCAGCCGCGGUAAUACGUAGGGUGCAAGCGUUAAUCGGAAUUACUGGGCGUAAAGCGUGCGCAGGCGGUUUUGUAAGACAGAGGUGAAAUCCCCGGGCUCAACCUGGGAACUGCCUUUGUGACUGCAAGGCUUGAGUGCGGCAGAGGGGGGAUGGAAUUCCGCGUGUAGCAGUGAAAUGCGUAGAUAUGCGGAGGAACACCGAUGGCGAAGGCGAUCCCCUGGGCCUGCACUGACGCUCAUGCACGAAAGCGUGGGGAGCAAACAGGAUUAGAUACCCUGGUAGCCCACGCCCUAAAACGAUGUCAACUGGUUGUUGGGAAGGUUCCUUCUCAGUAACGUAGCUAACGCGUGAAGUUGACCGCCUGGGGAGUACGGCCGCAAGGUUGAAAACUCAAAUGAAUUGACGGGGUCAUAGCUGUUUCC
rnacentral:rRNA from 1 species